CAGCCCGUGGUCACAACCCUAGCCAUUCGUCCCCCGCUCCGCGCCGCCGCGGCCCCAUCUCCCGCUCCCCGCGGUCGUCGGCCUCCUCCCUGUCGCUGCCGCUCGCGCCACCUCCCGUUCCUACUUCUUCCUCUCUCUGCUGCCGCCCUUCGCGCCGCCGGCCGGCAGGAGACCGAGUUCAUCGCAUCGCCAUCGCUGGAGGAAGUGCAGGUCGUCGCUGCCCCGAUUCGUCCGCGCUCGCAGGUGAGGAAACCCUAGCGCGCCGCCUCACACUCCUCGUGUCAAGAUCCCCUUGACGCCACAGCCCGGAACUCCGGCUGUAACUCGCGCCGUCGUUCACAGGGAGGAGCACAUGAGUGGAAAAUCGCCGGGAGGAGCGGAAGGUUGUCGCAGUUUUGAGCGACCGCGAGUUGAGGUGAGAUGCUGCUAUAGCCCCAUCCCUUUUCUUUUUUCUUCCAUUGAGCUAGCACUCGUGUUCCUUUUCUUUUUCCUCCUCACAGAACACCCGUGGAGCUGACCUCGGCUCAUUGCCGCACUUGGCUGUCUUGCACGGAGAGAAAGAGAGAGAGAAAGAGGAGGCUAUGUAGGGAGGAGGAGCAAUCUGAGGAGGAGGUGCGGCAACAGUAGCAAGUGGUGGUCUGGUACCUCCAUCCCUAGCCCCUCUACAUCAUUCAACCGCCGGCUGGCCGGCUCAGCCUUUUUCGGCCCCAUCUCUCCUCCUCUACAUCCUUGCGAUUCAAGAUAAGGUGCUCGAGGAAAAUCAAACGAAGCUGUAGGUACAGAGUUGGAACUGGAGCUACGAGUUUGGAUAAAGUAGGUGGAUAAACAUUUACGUUUAUUUGAUGGGUCUUACCUAUUUGGGUUCGCUUCCAAUGCAAUGGGGUGCACGACGGGGUGUGCGAGGUACUGGCCAUCUCAGAGUUGAGCUAUGCGUUUCUAAGUGCACUUUGUUUCUCCCUUUGCAACGACGUGACUUUAGCGGCUCUGAGUUCUCUGAGACGAUUGACCUAAAGCAGGGUUCCAUAUUCAUUGAUUCUCGAAGAGUUCCUUUAUUCGUACCACGGUUGAUUUAUACAUAUCGGUUUGACCCUGAUUUUGUUGAAUUUCAUGGGAAAUGUUGCGAAGAUCAGCCCUAGAUAUGGACACAUCACGUGACAUGCUCUUUCUCUAUGGAACUUUCAAUAUUGCAAUGGAAACAAGAAAUUUUAUUGAAGUUUGUUUUCGAGGACCUUGAGUAAAUAGGGAAUCCACCAGGGGGGAACCAUCUGACCUAAAGACUAAGGCCAAGUGGUGGGAGUCCAUUUGUGCAGCAGCUCGCAUAACCUAUCAGUCUCCUAGGUUUACAAGCUGCAAGGUGGAUAAGUUUAUCCCUAUGGGAUGUCAUGAGGCUGCUUCUGUGAUGAAAGGUUCAGUGUUAGCUUUUAUGUUCUCCACACAGAAGGUUAUUGGAGGUUUCUACUUAAUGAGCAUUGAUUUUCUCAGGUUUCAGUCAUCCAUGCCGUCUAUUUACAAGCGACAAAACCAUCAGUUUUUAAGUAAGCUAAUGGACUGAGCAUUGGUGACACAGUUGGAGCACGGAAAUGCAACAGAUUUCCAAGUGGAUAGACAGGAGAUAUGACUUCACCCUCCACUUGGACCUCAAUGUGUUUCAUUUCUCAGGAGUGAUGUUAGAUUCGUGUGAUGCUGAACUGGAUUUUGGACUGGAAGGCCUUGGAGGCCGAGAAGGAAGGCGCCUCCGUAAAUGGCCGCGGAGAAAAAUGAUGUCGCCACUGAUGAUAAGUGGGAGUCUUGCAACUAUUCAGUAUAAAAUAAAACAUGGAUUUUUCUGGUGAGAUUAUAGAAAUCUUAAAGAUUAACUUUCUUAUCCACACAAGUCUAUUUCUGAACCAAUACAUGCAAGAACAAAUGAAGGUAAACAAACAACAUCGGUACUAAGUGUAGAUGGAGAAGAUGUUCAGGUUCAAGGAGGGCAUGUGGGAGAAGCACAGGACACAACGUAGACGCAUGCAUACUUAUGCUCCAGACCAGGGUUCUUGCACAUCACUAAGCACUAAGAAGUA